CGCAAGCCUGACGGAGCAAGACCGCGUGGGGGAGGAAUGCCUUAGGGUUGUAAACCCCUUUUAUCUGGGAAGAACAAAAUGACGGUACCAGAUGAAUAAGCCUCGGCUAACUCCGUGCCAGCAGCCGCGGUAAUACGGAGGAGGCAAGCGUUAUCCGGAAUUAUUGGGCGUAAAGCGUCCGCAGGUGGCGAUUCAAGUCUGCUGUCAAAGCACGGGGCUUAACUCCGUAAAGGCAGUGGAAACUACAUAGCUAGAGUUCGGUAGGGGCAAAGGGAAUUCCCGGUGUAGCGGUGAAAUGCGUAGAGAUCGGGAAGAACAUCGGUGGCGAAAGCGCUUUGCUAGACCGAAACUGACACUCAGGGACGAAAGCUAGGGGAGCG
rnacentral:rRNA from 1 species